AUAAACUAAUUAAGUUUAUAUAAAUUUAUUUUGUUUUAUUUUUCAUUCCAAUAAACAAAAAAUGAUGGAGAUGAAUCAGAUCACAGAUUCAGAGUUGCCUUGUCGGAAAGCGUUUUCCAUUUCGCAUUGUGAAUUCAACUCCGAUUCAGUAAGUAAAGUUGGGGAUCUGAUCUGGCUUGCUUUGAUCUUUGAUGAAUCAAUCCUUCUUACUUAUUUCUUAGUAUUAGCGAUGCUCGUGUGUGUUUCUGUAGUUAAUUGAUAUCACGUCACGAUGAAUAAAGUAGGGUGGAGUUUCAAGAGCUUCAAAACCUUAUUGGUUGUGGCUUCUAUAACCUUCCCUAUUUUACUCACACUUACUCUCGUCCACCAAAACAACAACUCUGUUUCUGAUCUCUUCCAAGGAUUUCACGUAUUGUCUGGAAGAACCCUCAAUACUAAUGCUACUGCUAUUCUCUCGAAAGAUCAUGAUAUUAUUAGAGAGUCAACUCUAGGUCCAAAGAACCAUUCAUUUGAAGAUGGGAAGAAUGCUCUGUCCCUAUCUACUACUACCAUUGCUAAUGACAAACUCCUUGAUGGACUUCUAGUUUCCUCAUUUGAUGAAGCAUCAUGCUUUAGUAGAUAUCAAUCUUACUUGUACCGCAAAGCUUCCUCUCAUAAACCUUCUAAAUAUCUGAUAUUCAAGCUACGAAACUAUGAACAUCUUCAUCAAAGUUGUGGACCUUCUACCAAAUCCUACAACAAAGUCAUGCGAAAGGGCACAAAAUUUAGCAAAAAUGAUGCUAGUACUAAGUGCAAAUAUCUUGUCUGGACAGCUUCCAAUGGCUUAGGGAACAGGAUAGUAACCUUGGUUGCAGCAUUUCUUUAUGCUAUCCUUACAGACCGUGUUCUACUUGUCAAAUUUGGUACUGAUAUGCACGGCCUCUUUUGUGAGCCGUUUCCUGGUACCUCAUGGUUAUUGCCCAGGAACUUUCCUUAUUGGAAAGAUCAGAAACAUAUUGAAACAUAUGAAAGCAUGUUAAAGAAUAACAAGGUAAACACGUCACAUGAACUUUUGCCAGCAUUUAUUAUUCUUAAUCUACAGCACACCCAUGAUGGUCACAAUAAUUUUUUUCAUUGUGAUCAAAGUCAAGAUCUUCUCCAGAGAAUUCCCGUGCUGAUUUUAUGGUCAGAUCAAUAUUUUGUCCCUUCUCUUUUUAUGAUUCCAUCAUUUAGACAAGAUCUAAGUAAAAUGUUCCCUGAGAAAGACACUGUUUUUCACCAUCUGGGACGUUACCUUCUUCACCCAUCAAAUGAGGCAUGGGAAAUAAUUAGAAAAUUCUAUGAGGCACACCUAGCUAAGGCAAAUGAGAGGAUUGGCCUGCAGGUUAGAGUAUUUAAUACUCAUCGAGCACCACAUCAAACCAUUAUCAAUGAAAUUAUAGCCUGCACCCUUCAGCAUAAAUUGCUGCCUGAUUUCGACAUGCAAAAGUCAGCAACUUCUCCUUUGAAGAAGCCCUCAAAAGCUGUUCUAGUAGCAUCUUUAUUCUCAGAAUAUGGUCAGAAGCUGAGGACUAUGUAUCAGGCAAAUACAACUGUGACCAGGGAAGUAAUAAGAGUUUAUCAGCCAAGUCAUGAAGAGCGUCAAAAGUCAAAUAAUGACAUGCACAACAUUAAGGCAUGGACAGAAAUAUAUUUGCUGAGUUUGUGUGAUGCAUUGGUUACAAGCCCGAAGUCUACUUUUGGGUAUGUUGCUCAUAGUCUUGGAGGUUUGAAGCCAUGGAUUUUGCAGAGGGCGUAUGGGGAAACCAUCCCAGAUCCACCUUGUCGUCGAGCUAAGUCCAUGGAGCCUUGUUUCCAUUAUCCUCCCAAGUAUGACUGUAGGGCCAAUAGCACAGUUGAUUUUACUUCCAUUUUUCAUCAUAUGAAGCAUUGUGAAGAUGUAUCUAGUGGUUUGAGGCUGGUUAAUGUUAAGCACUAGGUAACAAACAAACUUGACACGAGCACUGAGUUAUUUGCUAAUUGCUAUUACAACUAAUGUCAAUAAUCCCUGUUUGCUCUAAUAUUUCAUUACUUUACUUUCUCCUCCUUUUUUUGAUAGCGUUUGAUAUUGUCUAGACUAGAGAGACAGAGCAUUUGGUUUUGCGAUUUCCUUGUCACUUUUCACUAUUUCCAGUCACUCAGCACAGGGAUCCUCCUAUUUCUAAAUCUCUGGGUUAGAGGCUAAAGAUUUUAUUAUUGGCAAGAGAUACAUUGUAGGCCUUAGACGAAUUUCCAGUUAUACCAAAUGGAGUGCAACUGCUUAGGAUAUUGUUCUCCACCAUUAAGUCUUGUACUAUGUAAUGGUUGUUUGCGAUUUAAACCUGUUUUACCACAUUGAAGGUGGUUUGUGUUCAUGUGGACUACACACAAAUGCUUCAGGGACCUAUGAUGGUGUUGGUUCUCCAUUCUGAGAAAGGUCGUAGAUAUAAUUCAACUUGAGAAGGAUGGUCUGUCCACAGAAACCUGCACAAGAUAUAUGCAUUAUUAUUCAAUAUCGUUAUGGCAAACUUCUUUAGUUGGUUCCAGGAAUUCUGAAGGUCUCUGCCAAUUUUGCUGCUGAACUACCUCAAAGGCAUGUAAUGAUUAGUUUAGCUAAAAUGUUUCUAGCCAAACAACUCCUUUUCCCCCUUGUUUUAACUGUUAUUUAUUCAUUAUCUUACAUUAUUUAAUUGUGAAUUAGAACUUUUGUAGUAUUUAAACAAGCAAUUGAAGUUGUUAUAAGCAUAAAUAAUUUAUGACAACAUUGACAAGUACCAUUAGCUAGCAUAUUCAAUGAUUUGUUAUGAUUCA